GUUUUGUCCUUUCGUUUGAAGAGUGAUCGUUCUAAACGGAUGUGUAGUGUACCGCAAACAUGGGUGUGCUUUGUUUGUCGAAAUAUGCAACAUUGGUUAGAAAAUAGCUAACAAAUGAUUCUUGCCUUUUAAAGCUACUGUGCAUGCUGGUACGAGAAAUCUGAUUCUUUGAAGCUGGAUUUAAGGAUAUUUUAUGGGUUUUAAAAUUAAGGCAAGAAGCAAAACGGCCAGGCCGUCCUAUAUAAAUAAAAAAAAUCUCGAUAGCACCGAGAAUUGAAUUUCUCGCCUGAUGAAAUCAUAUACAUAUACAUGUACAAUAAAUUAAUCUAGCUAUUAAUUGACCUACACACCUAUACGCGCUAUUGACCAUGACAUGCCUGACCUGUUCAAAAAGAGAAGCUUCAAGUACUGGGCGUCUCCAUCGCUUUUUUUUAACAGAAACACCAUCAAACGACUUAAAUCAAACGGUACAACCAGCAGUACUUUUCGAAAAGGUCACUUGAAGUAAACCAAGUAAAGCUUCCUUCGGCGAACAACGUAAUCAACAACGAUAAAACAUUUCACAAUAAUUUAAUAGAUAAAAACAAAUAAUAAUGCAUUAUGAAUAACUACCCGGGAGGGGUGUUUUGCAAACAUUGUACGAUUUCAUUAUCUACCAAUUAAAAAUUGCUUUCAUGCAAUGAAAAUAAUGACAAAAUCAUUAUUAAAUCAACUCCAUUUCAAGCGUCCAUCCAAAGCACCGGUAAAAGUUUGAUGUACCGAUAGCGACAGCAGCAAAAAAAAAAAAA